GCCCAGCUAGCUCAGUCAGUAGAGCAUGAGACUCUUAAUCUCAGGAUUGUGGGUUCGAGCCCCACAUUGGGCA
rnacentral:tRNA from 1 species